GGGGUUGGCCAUACUACGUUGAAUACACCGGUUCUCGUCCGAUCACCGAAGUUAAGCAACGUCGGGCUUGGUUAGUACUUGGAUGGGAGACCGCCUGGGAAUACCAGGUGUCGUAGGCU
rnacentral:rRNA from 1 species